UUUGUUGAUCACAGCAAUAGUGAGUCCUAAGCAUGCACUUGUAACCUUUUUAAUCGACACCGGUGCACAGAUUUCUGCUCUAGGCAAAGUAGAUGCUAAAAGGUUUGGGGGUUCUCCCUUAAAGUGACAUUUUUGCAUCCUCAGUGCCUUAGAGUUGACAGAACAAUACCCCCUUCCCCUGGGUGCCAAGGUUAACUCAGAGUGUACCUGGGAGAAAGGUUUGUUUGUUGGUAGCUUGGCUCUGGUAGAAGUAGAGAAGAUUACGGGACAGCAGCCAACUGUAUCAAGAAGUCCAUUUAAAGUCAUAAGAACAGUCACUACUGGGACCCCUCUCCCUGACCGGGUGGCCCAAAAGGCCUCAGUACGAAAGUGGUAUGCUCAGAUUGAACACUAUUGUAACAUUUUCUCACUGUCUGAAAGAGCUUUUAAAAACCUAGCUAGACAAGCUGUGGGCUGGGUGGCUUCUCAUCAGGUAGAUGAGAGAUCCGCAGGAGAAUGGAAUAACCGAGCUGAUGAAUUAGCAAGACUGGCCCCUGUACAAAAGGACCAAAUUUCAGAAGACUGGGAACGCUUGUUAGAAUGGUUACACGUAAAGCACAAACACACUGGAGCUAAAGACUUGUAUCGUGAAGCCUUGGCCAGCGAACAAUGUCGAAGACAGCUUGAAAAGCACCCUAUAGAAGACAACCCUCUACAUUUAAGUGAGGGUAAAGGUUUGUGGGAUGCCUAGCAAGUGAAUUAUUUUAUCCCUUUUAAGGAAACAGGGCUAGUGGGGGGGGAAAUAACCCCAGGAUCAGUCCAAGCUGAAGCUUUUGUCAGGGCUACAGGUGAAAACACUGUGAAACCAUUGCGAGAAUGGUUUGGAACUUUUCCAAACUCACAAGCUGCACCCGCUGGAUAAUUCCAUCAUUCUAAUUAUUCUUGCCUUGAGGAGGCGAGCCCCGUUUGUUUUCCUUUUUGCAGGAGAACUCCGAGGGACACAGAGAAUAACAUGAAUCAUUCAAGAACCAAAUCUGAAGGCCUACAUUUUAAAAUGACCAAUAGUGCAAUUAAGUUGCUAAUACUUUCCUACAUCUUUUCACUUACCUACUAUAGUAAUUGAAUAGGAGUGGGAUAGUAAAGAAUAAGUUAAAGAUCUAACUAGUGUGUUGGGGACAGGAUUGGAAGUCUUAAAUGGCAUUGAUUCAAAAAUAUUAAUGAAUAAAUUGUUUACCAAAAGUAAAUAUAAAAGAUCACAAAUUGUGGUACAUAAUAACCUUCCUUUGGCUCUCAGUUGUUUUCAGGCACAACUGUGGAUGCAAUCAGUGGCCGCCUCGAUCAUAAGGGAAGGUGAAGAAGGCACUUUUCCUACCGAAAUUCGGAAAAUUGUUUGGGACAGCGCCACUGAAUUUGAGAGAGAACUCCCAUCCUGGUGGACUUUGGUAAACUUUACCUAUAACCCCAACACAAACACAGCCACAACCUUUGUGUUAGCCAUACACAAUGCUUCAAUAUACAUAAUUUACCCAAUCAUUGCAUUAGGGUUGAACCACAACGGAACUGUACUCUGUCCUUUCGAGCAUAGAGUAUGGGCCCAAAAAAUAGAUGAGAAAUGGCAAACUGUCAAUUUAGAAUCUUGCAUUGUGCGAGAACAGCAAGGAUUCAUCUGCGAAAGUAAUACAAUCAGUGCUCAAGACAUUUGUCUGGACGCUGAGCAGAAUGUUUGCCACUUUGAGGUUCAUCCUGACAAUCGAGAAACGGUACUAGUGUGUAUUGGCAAAGGUUGUGUGUGCUUGAGGACUGCUUGCAACUCUAUAUUAGUAGAUAUGGUGACGGUAAAUAUUAGAAAUCAUUCAAAUUUUUGUGUUUGUGAUUUUGUUAAGAUUAAUGGAUGUGAUUUUUCUUAUCUAGCACCAGUUAUAUCUCAUCAACUUAUACAAUCUAAUUACACACUGAUUCAAGAAUUACUGCCUACACCUAUUGGGAUGAAUCUUUCAUUGGUAAAGCAAUUGUUGCAACACCAAGACCUGAUCGAGAUCUUGGAAGAAGUUCGAGUAAAUGGACAGAAAACCUUGAUAACCGCUCACCACGAUGCUGAAGAAAUUCACCUUGUGUUAAGAAGAAUAGAAAAAGAUGCAGAACAUAAGUGGUGGAACAUGCUUUUCAGGUGGUCACCUACUGCUACAGGCAUCCUGAACAAGUUGUGUCACCCCAUCGUUGUUCUUUUUGUAUUAAUUUUGAUAAGUUUUGUUCUGUCCACGGUACUGUAUAUUUUAAAUUAGAAAAUGGUAAAGCGUUUGACGCUUUUAACAUCUGUGAUUGAUGCCCACAAUUUGUUUAGUGUACCUUCCAAUGUAGACAUCCCUAAAUUUAUUGAUACAAAGCGGAUCGCGUGAUAAAUGACUUACCUUUUCCUUUCCCUUUUCUUCCUUCUUACUUUCUGUCUCCCUUUGAGGAUUGUGUUGUUGCCACGAAUUCCCAUUGACGAUGCUCAGUCACAGGGUGGUGUGAGAGUCAGUCCGAAGAUGGAGCAGUAUUUGCCUGAACAUCGCCAUCAAGAACUUAGAGAACUGAAGCUGAGACCAAAAGAACAGAUGGACAGUGACUUGGAGAGAGGCCCAAGGAGAAGCAUUGUGUUGCACUGUUUCUCCGAUAAGGGGGGGCUGCUGCUAACAAUGGCUGUCGUGUGGACUUUGCCUGCUGCUUCAGCCGAACCAGCCCCCGCCUCCUGAAAGCUAUUGUUAUGAGGGUCUCUUCAACCCAGGGACAAUAGCUGCCGUCCAGAAGAUGUGUUCUCACCUGCAGCCUCAGUUACACGUGUUCCUCACCUGCUCCCUCAAACAAUGGCCAACGAAAAGGAGCAUGCUCAGAAGCUUGCCAAGGGCCCUGAGGUCACCCAAUGGACCAGAGAAAGACCCCUGAAUGCUGGACACGUAAGCGCUGGCAAAAGAAAGCGUGAAUCUCUCGAGCCUGCGCAGUACGAGCCUGGGUUGCGAAGUCUAGGCGGAGACUGGCCUCAAACAAUGGGAGCAAGGGGGGUGAAGAAGCAUAAAAGGUGACUCCAGAAUGGACACUGUUGAAGAUCUUCCCACCAGAGGAUCCCAAACCACGACAGAGGACUGGCCGGACUCCACGGGACCGGAGACCAGAGGGACGCUUCUGGAACUGGACUGGUGAGAAACGCAACCUCAUUUCUCAUCUUUACCUUUACUUUUCCCCAUUUCUUUCCCCUUUUUUUUUCUUACUCUCUCUCUCUCUAUCACGUGCCGCUUUAUGGGCAAAUUAAUAAAGUAACACUGCUUGAUUGAAUUAUAACCCCUUGGCAUUUUGGUCGCCUUAAUUUUGUGCUCUGAGAUCAAGGUAAAAGAACCAUCACGAGUCCAUUGCCGAAUGGACAGUGACACUGUAGAGCUGAGUCUUACCUGCAUUUGAGCUGUGUGCCUGAAUUGUUUUGUGUUAACUGUAAGUUUUGGAGAGAGUGGGGAUUGUAUGUUGUGAGUAGCUUUUAGUAGUAUCUGUGGAGUAUUGAUGUAUGUAUUAAUACUCCUAGUUUGCAUUUGUUAUGAGCUGUGUUGUUCUGUAUUAAGCAUAAUGGGAGGACAGCAUAGUAGUGGUAUUCUGAAAAGAGCUUGUUAGGGUGUGUUUUAGCUCACAGGAAAGAAAUUGAGGAACCACCUGGUGAUAAUGUGAAUAGAGAAACCUCGAUGAAAUAUUAUAAUCAGUGGCCAUUGUACAAAUUUGAUGAUGAGAAAAAGUGGCCUCAAUGAAACUUUGAGUUAUGGUACUUUAAUGCUAUUGUCGAAGAGAGAAGGAAAACGGAGUCAAGUUAUGUAUGCUGAUAUAUUUUUCACUUUGUGAAAUCACUCAGAGUGGCAGAAAGAAUGUGGUAUUAAUUUGGCACCACAGGAUUCUUUUUUUUUAACAUUGGAAAAGUAGCCAAACAAAGUACGAGGGAGCCGAAACAAUGUUGUUCAGUAUGUAGAAUAAGACAGAAAACUCCCUGAUGAGAGGGGAGGAUAGCAUAGUAGAUUAUGUGCCCCCACUGGGGGGGGGGGGGUGGUAGAAUUGAAGAUUAUGUGCCUUCACCUUCCGAGGUGGCAGAUGAUGAAGCUUCAGAGACAGAAGAGGAAAACAGGGAAAAGAAAUUGAAUUUUUAAUUGCUACUGGAGCAUCUUAUUUGGUUUUUGGAAUUGAUACCUUUAGAUAAAGAUUUUUUAACUGUAGUGGAAGCUACUGGCCAACAAGAGAAAUCUUUCUUUUUCUUUUGACAGUCAAUCAAAUAUAAAUUGAGAAAACAAAUUGGAAUUCAGAAGUUCUUAUAUAUGCCUGGGUCUCCAAAACUGUUAUUAAGAUGAGACCUAUUAGAGCAAUUGAAAGCAAUAAUAAUAUUCAAACAAAGUGAAAUUCAAGAUAAAAAAUUGAGAUUUUGAAUUUGGCAAUGAUUCAAACUGACCAGCAAAGCCAAAUACCUCAGGAAAUAUUGGAUCAAGUAUUUCCAGGGGUCUGGGCUUCAAGAGCUCCUGGUAAAUCAAAGAAUGCAAAACCAGUGAAAAUUAAAUUGAAACCUGGAGGUGGACCAGUCAGAAUCAAACAAUAUCCCCUGAAAUUAGAGGAUAGGGGAAAAACAAAAUAAUAAAAAAAAACAGUAACUUCCUGCAGUUUGGACUGCUGAUGGAAUGCGAAUAAAGAAACAAGAUGGUAAAAGCUAUAAAGUUAGUGUAGGAUUUCAGAGUAAUAAAUAAAAUUGCACUCAAUAGUAGCUAAUCCUUACACAUUGUUAACCAAAUUAUGAGACAAUCACAAAUAGUUGACUGUGUUGUAUUUGAAAGAUGCCUUUUCUGUCUUGCAUUAGACAAUGAGAGUCAGAAGCUUUUGAGUGAGAAAAUCCCAAUACUGGGAGAAAAGCCCAAUUAACCUGGACAGUGUUACCCCAGGGAUAAGAACUCAAAGCCUAGGAAGCUCUUCCAGGAAAUGGGACCUUGUUAUCUCCUUAUAGCCACAAAAACCGAAGAAGAUUGUGUGCAAUGGACUGUAAGUUUACUAAUUUUCUGAUAUUAAGCGAGUAUCGAGUUUCCCAACAGAAAGCCCAACUGAUGCAGUACCAAGUGACUUAUCUGAGAUUCAAGAUCUCUGGAGGACAGGGAGAGCUGGGAAUGGAGCGAAAAGAAGCUAUCUGCCCGACACCAGAACCUGCAAUGGUAAAAGAGCUCCGGACAUUUCUUGAAAUGACAGAGCCUGUGGUCCACAAUUGCUUGGAAACAAUAGAAACUGUCUACUCCAGCAAACCAGAUUUAAAGGAACAGGCACUGAAAGAUGCUGAAGAUUCCCAGUUCACCAACAGAAGCAGCUUUGUAAAGUGAGGAGUAUGUAAAGCUGGGUAUCCCAUAACAACUACCCACAAGGUCCACCUUUAAAAGAAAAGUAGAAUGGACUGUUCCAGGUGUUGCUGACGGCCUUUACUGCAAUUAAGAUUAAAGAGCAACCUGCCUGGAUUCACUAUUAAAGAGUGAAGAAAGCACCAGUAGACCUACUGCUUCCCAGUUUUCCCAACGUUGAUCUUAGUGAUUCUAAAAGUAUAACUGCAGUAAUAAAUGCUUUUAUUUCUAGUUAGCUUUUACACAAAUCUUUAAUGAAAACUAUUAUAGCCCAAAGUGAACUAAAAGAAAUGUCUGCACAGGUUGAAUCAGAAACUGCAAAAUAUUCCUUGUUGGCAUUAUUGGUGAUAAUUAUAGUCUUGAUAGUAGUCUUAUACAGUACUGAAAUAUGAGCAAUUGCAAAUCCUUUUGGGAAUAAACUGAAGUAUUACAUGAAGUCACAAAAAAUAUACAUCUUGUGACUCUAAUUUUAAUACUAGUAAUUUUGACUUGCAUUAUGCUACAAUGUUCUAUUUGGUACUGCUAUCAAGUAACAGAGAAUUAUGCCGUACCGCAACACGAGAUGCUAAUAUUUUGUAGAUCUAUAUUGCAAAAGAAUUUGCAAGUGUAUCAAAAAGGGGGGAAAUUAAGAGAAGCUGCCAAAUUCAUGUAACCAAUUGACAUGAGAUAAAUGCUUUCUGACCACCUGCAAAAUGAGGGGAUAUUUUUCAAGUUUUAGAUCCUUCUGCAUGACAGGAGGGAGACAGAAGAUUAAGCGAUACAUUGUUUAGAAGCAGAGUGCUUAGUUUAUAUUUAACUAAUAAUUAAUAGGUGUAUUGUAAGCAAGAAACUAAACAAUUAUAUCUAACAUCAUCAAUUAUUUCUUAGUGUAGAUGUAUUGUAUGUCAGAAUUUUCAAAAACUGUAAUGCAUAUGUAAUAAUUAUGUGAAUAUAAGCAAUGCAAGAGAAUUCAGUCAU